rnacentral:lncRNA from 1 species
AAAUGUAGCAAAACCCUUUAAAUUUAAAAGGAAAAAGCUUUCAAAGUAUUGAUAUUUUUAAAAGCAUUGGCUCGAGUUUGGAAUCCGAUAUUCGGCUUGUCGAUGGUCCAAAGAUUCAUUCGACAAGAGCAUCGAUGCGUGCGUGAUUAAAGAAGAAAGAUUUCUACAUGUUAUUUUCGAUCUAGCAAGAGUGUUCCAAACACCUUCACCAUGAUUUGAGAUGUAAUUUAUGAGAAUCAAGUCUUCUUCCAUUGUCCAUGGCCCUUUUCGAACCUCCACAUCCUGCGAAGAGUUGCUCGGGCUUUUCUUCAUAUUUACGCGUUAACUUUUAUUGUUUUAUUUUCUGCAAAAAUGUAGAAAGAGGGAGAGUAUGGGAGAGAAAGGUAGAGAGAGAGAAGAAUGGAAGAAAGAUAAUGAAGAUGGUGAUGGUUUUAUAGGGGAAGCCUAAGAUGACAUUUAACAUGCUAAUUAAGCUUUUUAGUUGAGUUAAUCAACUUUUUAAAUCUUUAGACCUAACUUGGUUAUUAACCUUAAUUACUUUAAGAUAAAGAGAAAUAAAAGAUUAAAGAUUAGUACAUAUAUGGUAUGCUUGCAUGCAGGACCCCUACACAUGCAAAUUUUGAAAUUCUAUGUAAAUGUAUAUUUAGUUAUGGAAGAUAAAUGAAAAAUGCAUAUUUAAUAAAGUAAAGUACUUAUUUUGUUCGUUUACUAAUGUAACUUGUAAAAUAAGCAUAGCGUCAUCCAUAUGUGUGUAUAUACAGAGGAUUAGUUACAAAUUAUUUUAUCCUUACAAAAGUGUAGAAAUGAUCUUUGAUUUUACUUUUUCAUUAGUUACGAUUGAACUGAUGGCGAAUCGUCAAUAAUACGAAGUUAUAAAUGGUAGAAAAGGUAAAAAGGAAUUCAUCCUCAUUGUUGGUAUAUAUUUUAAAAUCUGUUUUCUAGCAUUUAUUAAACUUAAAUAACUAGUAUAUAUUUUAUUUUUUGAAAGAAGUUAUAUCAUUUUCUUUAGUUUUAGUAUCGCAUUGCGGUAUAAUUUUGACAAGAAAACGGCGAUAUACAAUGUGUAUUAAUUUAUAUACACAAUUUAGGGGUGUAAACGAGCCGGGUCGAGCCAGAGUUCGACAAGGCUCGAGCUCGUCCUGUCAUGUUUUUAUGAAGCUCGAGCUCGGCUCGGUUCGAGUCGACUUAUUUGAGCUCGAGCUCGGCUCGCGAGUAAAACCCAAAACUCGAGCUUGGCUCGAUUCAGCUCGAGCUAAUUUGAGAACAACCUAAAACAAGCUAAAAGCUUGGCUCGAGUUCGCUUCAAUAUUGCUUAGACGAGCCAAAGCUCGGCCCGAGCACGGCUCGCCAAUGUUAUCAUCAUUAUUACUUUAUUAUAUAUAAAAAAUAAAUUUUGUUUGGGCUCGUUUAGACUAGCGAGCUCGGGUUCGAUAACUAAACGAGCUCUAUCUCAGGCUCAAGCUCGUUAAAGUGUGGCUUGUUCGAGCUUUUAACCGAGCCCGUAACCAGUAGCUCUCAAGCCUCUAGGCUUGUUUACCUCCCCCCCCCCCCCCUAACACAAUUGUUCGUAAUUAGAUGACUGUCUCCGAAAAUCCUUGAAAAAUUUUGGGCCUGGGACGAAUAGAAAAAAUGGGCCCCUAUAAUAUAAAAUCAAUAACUCAAUUUUGUAAAAAAAAAAAAGAUAAAUAUAUAUACAUAGUCGUAACAUACCCAAAACACGUUCGCUUUAUCAGUUUUA